CGUACACUCCUACGGGAGGCAGCAGUGGGGAAUAUUGGACAAUGGGCGCAAGCCUGAUCCAGCCAUGCCGCGUGAGUGAUGAAGGCCCUAGGGUUGUAAAGCUCUUUCACCGGUGAAGAUAAUGACGGUAACCGGAGAAGAAGCCCCGGCUAACUUCGUGCCAGCAGCCGCGGUAAUACGAAGGGGGCUAGCGUUGUUCGGAUUUACUGGGCGUAAAGCGCACGUAGGCGGACUAUUAAGUCAGGGGUGAAAUCCCGGGGCUCAACCCCGGAACUGCCUUUGAUACUGGUAGUCUUGAGUUCGAGAGAGGUGAGUGGAAUUCCGAGUGUAGAGGUGAAAUUCGUAGAUAUUCGGAGGAACACCAGUGGCGAAGGCGGCUCACUGGCUCGAUACUGACGCUGAGGUGCGAAAGCGUGGGGAGCAAACAGGAUUAGAAACCCUUGUAGUCCCAUG
rnacentral:rRNA from 1 species